CGCUGGCGGCGUGCUUAACACAUGCAAGUCGAACGAAGCAGCAGUGAAGGAGGCUUCGGCCAAUGGAUCUGUUGACUUAGUGGCGGACGGGUGAGUAACGCGUGAGCAACCUGCCUUUCAGAGGGGGAUAACGUUUGGAAACGAACGCUAAUACCGCAUGAUGUAUCUUUGCUGCAUGACAGAGAUACCAAAGGAGCGAUCCGCUGAAAGAUGGGCUCGCGUCCGAUUAGAUAGUUGGUGGGGUAACGGCCUACCAAGUCGACGAUCGGUAGCCGGACUGAGAGGUUGAACGGCCACAUUGGGACUGAGACACGGCCCAGACUCCUACGGGAGGCAGCAGUGGGGAAUAUUGCACAAUGGGCGAAAGCCUGAAUGCAGCAACGCCGCGUGAGGGAAGACGGUUUUCGGAUUGUAAACCUUUGUCCUUGGUGAAGAUAGUGACGGUAGCCGAGGAGGAAGCCACGGCUAACUACGUGCCAGCAGCUGC
rnacentral:rRNA from 1 species